rnacentral:lncRNA from 12 species
UGCAAAACAGAAGCUUGGCACGUUUAAAAGUAUCCAGAUUAACCUUGUUUUGUGAAAAUGAACUAUCAGUGGGUAGCUUUCCAGCCACUGGGGUUCAUGGUAGCCUCCCAUACUCCUCACCAUACUCCUGAGUCGUGAACAAAGCCAGAAAUGAAAUUUUCUUGAAUGGGAGAAACAUUGCUGGCUGUUAUUUGGAGAAAGAAAAAUGAGCUUAAGGUUCUAUUAGCUACCAUCCCUUACAGAUUGUUUCUCUUGUCUUUUUCUCCCCUCCCCCUCCCAGUUCCCCCUUCUCUCUCCUUUCUUGCAUUUCUUGACCAUCUCAGAGUGUAAGGUAACACAGAAGAAAGGACUUCAUUUAUUCUACUCCACUGACAUUAGGAAGGAGAGUUGCCUGUGGCUCUUGGUGUUGACUGCGCCUUGGUAGAUGAAGCAUCCAGCUCUGCUGUUUGGGGAACAGGCUACUUUUGGGUCCCUCAAUAUCUUCACUUGCUCAGAACCAGAGAGCAAAGGGGACAGGUGAGGAGGGCAGGGGUGCUUACUUCUCUUCAGAUGAUUUGGAGCUUCAGAAAACUGGGUGAGCCAUGAAUACCACAGAAGUUCUGCGGAGGUGGCAAGGACCAAGCACCUGUUGCGGUGACACCGUCGUCCUGGUCAGCACCAGUUGGACCAUUUCCACAAGCAGGUCAGAACUGGCCGGGACACCAGUUCUGUUCUGGACACCAAGAGCUACGAAUCUGGUCUCAUAUCCCCUCUUGAUCCAGGCUGAGCUGCCUAUCUCCCCACCUCCGUGAAAGGAAACUGGAUGCGGGAAGGCAGACACACACAGCCCAGGCUCCUUGAAACUAUAAAAUUAUGAUUGCAUAGAAAUGCAACUCGCUCCAAACUGCAUGUAGGCCAACAAGUGUUUAACUUCCAACCCUGUCAUUUGCCCCAUAAUAUGGCCCUCAUGGGGAUGGUCAGGUGGAAGUCUCUCACCUGAGGGGAGGAUGCUCCACCCAGGCCUCUUGAUCCAUCAGGACUCCAGCUGCACUGACUCCACCAGGCUUCCCCAGCUGCUGAGGUCGGAUGUUUUGAUUUCAUGUCUACUCUAUGGAUUUACAGAUGAGAAGACUGAGGUCCAGCAAGACCUAAUGAUGAACACAAGGUUAUGCCACGGUGCGGGCCACAGCUGUAAGUCAUUCUCAGGUCUUCUUGGGACAUCUAACCCUGUGCUUCCAUCAUGACUUAUCCAAGUCUCCUGUUGAGUUCUAUAGAACAAUUAGGUUAUCCCGCAGUCCACAUUUCAUGGGAGAAUUCUGAUUUCAUUUAAAAAAUUCUUUUAGGGGCUCCUGGGUGGCACAGUCAGUUAAGCUUCUGCCUUCAAUCCCAGGGACCCGGGAUUGAGCCCCACAUUGGGCUCCUUGCUCAGCAGGGAACCUACCUCUCCCUCUCCCUUUGCCUGCAGCUCUGCCUGCUUGUGCUCUCUCUUUCUCUCUCUCUCUGUCAAAUAAAUAAAUAAACAAAAUAUUUUUAAAAAUCCUU